rnacentral:rRNA from 1 species
CGGCAAUGGAGGAAACUCUGACCGAGCAACGCCGCGUGAACGAUGAAGUAUUUCGGUACGUAAAGUUCUUUUAUUAGGGAAGAAUAAAUGAUGGAAAAAUCAUUCUGACGGUACCUAAUGAAUAAGCCCCGGCUAACUAUGUGCCAGCAGCCGCGGUAAUACAUAGGGGGCAAGCGUUAUCCGGAAUUAUUGGGCGUAAAGGGUGCGUAGGCGGUUAAAUAAGUUUAUGGUCUAAGUGCAAUGCUCAACAUUGUGAUGCUAUAAAAACUGUUUAGCUAGAGUAAGAUAGAGGCAAGUGGAAUUCCAUGUGUAGUGGUUAAAUGCGUAAAUAUAUGGAGGAACACCAGUAGCGAAGGCGGCUUGCUGGGUCUUUACUGACGCUGAGGCACGAAAGCGUGGGGAGCAAACAGGAUUAGAUACCCUGGUAGUCCACGCCGUAAGCGAUGAGUACUAAACGUUGGGUAAAACCAGUGUUGAAGUUAACACAUUAAGUACUCCGCCUGAGUAGUACGUACGCAAGUAUGAAACUUAAAGGAAUUGACGGGACUCCGCACAAGCGGUGGAUCAUGUCGUUUAAUUCGAAGGUACCCGAAAAACCUCACCAGGUCUUGACAUGCUUCUGCAAAGCCGUAGAAACACAGUGGAGGUUAUCAGUUGCACAGGUGGUGCAUGGUUGUCGUCAGCUCGUGUCGUGAGAUGUUGGGUUAAGUCCCGCAACGAGCGCAACCCUUAUUGUUAGUUACCAGCACGUAAUGGUGGGGACUUUAGCAAGACUGCCAGUGAUAAAUUGGAGGAAGGUGGGGACGACGUCAAAUCAUCAUGCCCCUUAUGACCUGGGCUACAAACGUGAUACAAUGGCUGUUACAAAGAGUAGCUGAA